rnacentral:rRNA from 1 species
UACGUAGGGGCCGAGCGUUGUCCGGAGUUACUGGGCGUAAAGCGCGCGCAGGCGGCUCGUCAAGCCUGACGUGAAAGCCCCCGGCUCAACCGGGGAGGGUCAUUCGAUACUGUUUAACUUGAAGGCAGGAGAGGGUAGUGGAAUUCCCGGUGUAGUGGUGAAAUGCGUAGAUAUGCGGAGGAACACCAGUGGCGAAGGCGGCCACCUGGACCGUCCCUGACGCUCAAACACGAAAGCUAGGGUAGCGAACGGG